CCUACGGGGGGCAGCAGUGAGGAAUAUUGGUCAAUGGGCGGGAGCCUGAACCAGCCAAGUCGCGUGAGGGAAGACGGUCCUAUGGAUUGUAAACCUCUUUAGGCGGGGAGCAAUGCCGGGCACGCGUGUCCGGAGGGAGAGUACCCGCAGAAUAAGCCCCGGCUAACUACGUGCCAGCAGCCGCGGUAAUACGUAGGGGGCAAGCGUUAUCCGGAUUUACUGGGUGUAAAGGGAGCGUAGGCGGCAGUGCAAGUCAGAGGUGAAAGCCCAAGGCUCAACCAUGGGACUGCUUUUGAAACUGUACA
rnacentral:rRNA from 1 species